AUUGAACGCUGGCGGCAGGCCUAACACAUGCAAGUCGAACGAGUGGCGGACGGGUGAGUAAUGUCUGGGAAACUGCCUGAUGGAGGGGGAUAACUACUGGAAACGGUAGCUAAUACCGCAUACCAUCGGAUGUGCCCAGAUGGGAUUAGCUAGUAGGUGGGGUAAAGGCUCACCUAGGCGACGAUCCCUAGCUGGUCUGAGAGGAUGACCGGCAAAACGGGAACGGAGAAACGGUCCAGAUUCCUAGGGGAGGCACCAGAGGGGAAUAUGGCACAAUGGGGGCAAGCCGGACGAGGACAGGCCGCGUGUAGGAAAAAGGCCUUCGGGUGGUAAAGUACUUUCAGCGAGGAGGCGUUACCCGCAGAGGAAGGACCGGCUAACUCCGUGCCAGCAGCCGCGGUAAUUC
rnacentral:rRNA from 1 species